CCUUAGAUGUUCUGGGCCGCACGCGCGCUACACUGACAGAGCCAACGAGUUACUUCACCUUCGGCCGAAAGGUCUGGGUAAUCUUGUUAAACUCUGUCGUGCUGGGGAUAGAGCAUUGCAAUUAUUGCUCUUCAACGAGGAAUGCCUAGUAAGCGCGUGUCAUCAGCAUGCGUUGAUUACGUCCCUGACCUUUGUACACACCGCCCGUCGC
rnacentral:rRNA from 1 species